CUCUGCUUUCCGGAGCGAGCUGGCGGGACAGCCCCGGCCGAGCUCUGACCACCACCUUUGGAAACUGUGAGAAUCCCCGGUAGGUGGUUCUCGCUUCGCAGGGGCCGCAGAGAACGAGCGUUGCUUUCCUGGGGCCUCAAGGGCAAAGCCUCCAAGGUCGAUGCCCCUUGCAACUGAAGUGCCUGGAGUAUUAACAUCUCUUUACGAAGACCGUCACCUCGGGACAUCACUGAAUGUUUGGAAAGUAGAACAACUGGAUGGAAUCUUGAAAGAGUUAAGAAUGAUUAGUGAUGACAUGAACCGAAACAAAACACAGUGGAAAACAAGAAAGCUAUAACAAGAGGUGGGAGGCCAGCGAGACCUGAAGAACUCAGAUGAAAGUAAAAGGCUGGAAAAAUCCAUCAAACCCUAGAAUCAAAUUUUAUAUGCUCUAGUGGAUCUUUUUCUUUUGAUAUUCCACGGCGUGUCUUAAAGUAUAUUCUACAAGUCAUGCCCUCACCCUUAGUAAUGUGCACUUUCCUUGUCGAGCAGACGGUGGCCUUGUUCUUAGCUUCUUGCUCCUCCUUGUAAAGAACGCUGAACUCGGAUGAUCGCUCCUUUUGUGUGUUUUGGGAGCUUUUGCUCCUUUUGUGAGCUUUUGGGAGAACUUGUUACAUUACUUAUGUUCCCAGUGCAAAAUGAGAACGCAGGACUUUUUGUUUAAAAGUUACUUUGAUUUCCCAACCAGCCAUCGCAGAACAUUAAAUCAAGAGUCUGGCCUGGUGCGAAUGCGCGGGUUGAGAGCACGAAGCCAGCCCUCUCUGGGAGUGCGAUUUUUUGCGCGAAGACUGGGUUUGAAAGGACAUCUAAAAGUGGACUGGAAUCCCAAGUGACGGUCCGCGAUAUCAAGUACUUUUAGAGGAGAGCUUGAAGGUACUGACGUGGGAAUGUUACACUGCACAAACAAAAACUGUGAAAAAAACUUGGUUGAAGCGUUUUCUCUCCAACAAUAUUUUUCUGGCUCAUGUUCUUUUCUCAAACAACUCCUCGUUCCAGGUCCCAUUAAACGCCACCUGGCCUUGGCGACAGGGUACACAGGCACCCCGUCCGGGCGCAUCCCGGUGACUGUCUUAACUUGGGCUGUGCUCCACACAGCGCAGCCGUGCGCCGGAUACCAUCGCUAGGUUUGAUAUAGGACGCUGGGUCGGAAAGGGUCAGAGGUGUCCAUGAAACGCGCGGUCUAAUUGUGAAGGAGAAAGAAAAAUUACCCUCAACAGAGCAAGCGUGUUUCCGCCCGGUUUCGAACCGGGGACCUUUCGCGUGUGAGGCGAACGUGAUAACCACUACACUACGGAAACCCCUCUGUGCGUAGGGCUGCACUCGCAGCUCUCUCCUACGCUUCCUGCCUUCCCCCGCGCUGGUUCCCAAAACCCUGGGGUCUUCUCUCUGCUCAGGUCCGUUACGGAGUCACUGUCCGCAGCUGCAUUUUAAACCUGAUCUAAAAAUCAAGCAGCACGCCGAGAUGUCUUCGAGGUCUUUCUUCACCGACCCAAAGUAGAAGGCUCUGAGAAGGCACAGAAAGGGGAGACCUGGAGCACUGUCUGCAUGGUAACGACUGCAUUCAUCGGGA